CGGCGGCGUCGGCUCCGGCGGCCACGGGCGGAGAGGAAAAGAGAGGGAUAGAGAGGACAGCGACGGCUUACCAGCGACGAGGAUGGCGAAGGCAAGUCGGCGAGGGCCGAGGACAGGUGGUGACGGCCGGCACGAGGUAGAUCGGCGGCGGCGAUGGAGAUCGCUCGGUGGCGCUAGCGCGGUGGCACGACGGACAACGGCCAGCGACGGCAACGGCCGAGAAGAGGAAAGGAAUCCGACGGGGAGAGGAGGGAGGAGCGGUGCGCGACGACGGCUUGGCGUUGUGGCGCGUGCACGGGGAGGCAGAGGAGGAUGGAGGGAGGGGAAACCGUGGCGA
rnacentral:lncRNA from 1 species